CGAAGGGUGCAAGCGUUAAUCGGAAUUACUGGGCGUAAAGCGUGCGUAGGUGGUUGUUUAAGUCUGUCGUGAAAGCCCUGGGCUCAACCUGGGAAUGGCGAUGGAUACUGGGCGACUGGAGUGCGGUAGAGGAUGGCGGAAUUCCCGGUGUAGCGGUGAAAUGCGUAGAGAUCGGGAGGAACAUCCGUGGCGAAGGCGGCCAUCUGGACCAGCACUGACACUGAGGCACGAAAGCGUGGGGAGCAA
rnacentral:rRNA from 1 species